GAUGAACGCUGACAGAAUGCUUAACACAUGCAAGUCAACUGUGGCGGACGGGUGAGUAACGCGUAAAGAACUUGCCUCACAGAUAGGGACAACAUUUGGAAACGAAUGCUAAUACCUGAUACUGUGAGAGAGCUUUGGGUCCCAUUAGCUAGUUGGAGAGGUAACGGCUCACCAAGGCGAUGAUGGGUAGCCGGCCUGAGAGGGUGAUAGGCCACAAGGGGACUGGGACACGGACCUUAGUACAACGGGAGGAAGGAGUGGGGAAUAUUGGACAAAGGACCAAAGUGUGAUCCAGCAAUUCUGUGUGAAAGAUGAAGUUUUCGGAAUGUAAAGUGAUUUCAGUUGGGAAGCAGUACCAAAAGAAGAAGUGACGGCUAAAUACGUGCCAGCAGCCGCGGUAAUUC
rnacentral:rRNA from 1 species